AAGGCUCCAGGCAAAAUAGAUUGGACAUUUUCACUUUCUCAAGCCAGGGCCACCGGUCGCCCAACCAGCAGCCACUGAGGGUGGUAUCGGGGCGCCCCUUCCCCUGGCAGCGUAUUUCAGCCCCCAGAGACAUCCCCCACCUCGGCCAUCCCCAGCGCCUUUGCAGGGACAGCAGCACAACCAUAGCAGAGGUCCUGGGCAUCCUGGAAAUAACGUGCUGGUGAUCUGGCUCAGAAGUGCACGUUGGCCCGCGCGUGCGGGGAGCUGAGAAGCAAGAGAUUGGAACUUUGCACGUGUCAAGCAAGGUUUGGCCUGCUUUGAAGACAGUAAUUUCAGAGCCACUCCGGUCUCUGCGUCACAAGCGGGCAUCAGGGCAGUGGUGGGGCGGCAGGGGAUCCUGAGACCUCCCAUGCCCUCUCUUUGGCCCCGGUGCUUCUGGGUGAGUGUGGGGAGAGAGGAAAAUAGUUGUUUAUGCUUUUCACCAUUUGCAUUUUUAAAUUUUUGUCUUCUUUAAUCUUCCUGGUCUUACUUUUACUCUAGAAUGACAGGUCCUUCCCCCCCAUACUAAGGGUUCUGUCUGCGGAUGCAUCAGGGCAUCUCAUAUCCCUUUACUGGCAACCAGCCUGCCUGCACAGGAUGGAAGGGAGGGCAAUUAAAUUCCCUGCGUCAAGGGAGUCUCUAGGGGAAUGUUCUGUAACGCUCCUCUGGGUGGCCAUUGUAAACCUCUGUGUAUACACACGUGGAAUCCAUUGAUCUGUACAUUCACUGCAGGUGUCUGCACUUUACUGCUUGUAUGUUGUACUUCAAAGGAGUUAUAUUCCCAGAGCCCAGGCAAAGGCUUACUGAGCACCUACCGAGUACACAAAGCAUUGCUAAGCUCUGUGGAUGCAGCUUCCACCCACAGGAAGCUCCCAGUCUGAUGAGGGCCCAGUUACAAUUGUGAUAUCUGCCACAGCGAAGAAGCCUUCGCUAAGUGCUAAGAGAUUCCUUACUUAAACUGUGCAUCCAAAAUUAGGGGAGGAGUGGAGGGAUCAGGUUUCAAGAGCGUUUUGUAAUAAAUGGCCUCUGCCCUAAAUUGUAGGGCCCCCAUUAGUGUGGGGAUUGGGGACAGGGGCAAUAACUGCUGUUGGGAAUUCAACAGGAGAGGAGGCAUGGGGUUGCAGGUGGAGACGCACAGUUCCUUAAGUAACUCACCAAAGGGAAUAGUGGACAUUGAAUGGUCUCUAGUAACAGGAGGCUUGGUUUUUAACUAAAGGUGAUACAGAACAUCUGGCAUUUCCGACUCCCCUUCUUAGGAGUAUCCUGACAACCCGAUGGAAAGUGGCCUGGGUGUCAAGGAAAAAGCAACGUGGAAACAAUUCAGGUUUCUUCCAUAUAAGAGAGACAAUCUUUUCCCAGGUGUGGGUCCUCCCUCUUGGCAGUAGCGGAGAAGUUUUUGAAAGAUAAAUGAUGCUUUUAUUGUGUCAUUUGGCCUUUGUUUGGCGCUUGAUACAGCCCAGGGUUUGCUAUUCUAAAAUCUGUCACUAGACAGAUGUGUGCUGCAGCCAGUGUGGAGAACAUGGGGCAGGAGAGAGGAAGAACCAGGUGUCCCCGUUCCCCAGACCAGUGCUGAUGUGCUACCAGAAAUGGGUUUGCAAGAUUAAUCACCUUCCUCCUGCUUCCCUUGAAUUCUAAUUAUUGUUGUCAGGAUCUGUUGAAGUAGUAAAAGCUGCUGGCAACCAAGACACAUAAAAGCUAAGCUCCAGUUGCUGUGUGUGGUUUCCAACACUUAUUUAUUAUCUCUGUUUAAUAAUAAACCUCCUUCCCCACAGCUAUGUGUUGUAAAGUCUAUCCUUUCUCUCUCUCUCAAAAUUACUAUGGAGAAAAUGCUAUGCAACCUGUUUUGCAUAAAAGGCUGGGCUAAUUAACCUUUCCUUUUCACCUCCGACCUCUAAUACUUACAAACUGUAUGACAGAAGUAGACACUGGCAUAGACAUACAAAUGGUGCUGCUGGGUGGGAUUUUGUUGUUGUUUUGUUGUUUGUCUAAUGAUCUUUGUGAUGCUUGAGUAAUUUAUUCAGGGCUAAGAUUACAGAAACAUAAUGCUAACAAUGGUUGAAAUCAACCUUGUCCCCUAGUUUUAAGAACACGCCACAUUCUUGAACUCCUGCAAGUAAUCUUACUAAGAUUCUCUUCUGAAAUUUUAUUGCUAUAUAUUAGGAACAGAGUGAUUAACACUAGUGAGCUAGAUGAUUUGACAAUAUAUAUCUGAGAAAAGGAAACUGGAAACGUGUCUGAGAAAAAAAAAAGUUCUAGCUACUGAAUGAGAGUUUAGAAAAUGAGACAGCUCCAGUAAAGAAAGUCCAAAUGCACAUAAGAACUCUCUAACAGAGGCCACUCACUUUUCUCAUCUAAGAGUAUGUGGAAAGCUUGUAAUAGGAGAGGAAAAAUUAUGAAUAAUUAAUUCCCACUAUAGGAAGUCUCCUAGGGCAAAAUCAAGCUAAGACUUAGAAUGAUGGGGAAAAGCCCCCUAGUCAUAAUAUUUUGGGGAAAUUUCUUUUCUCUACAAUAUUAUAUAUUAGAAUCUUACAGUAGCUCCAUGAUUCCUUAAACAAAAGGAGGCUCGUUGAUAUGGUUUGGCUCUGUGUCCCCACCCACAUCUCACCUUGAAUUGUAAUAAUCCCCACGUGUCAAGGGUGGGACCAGGUGUAGGUAAUUGAAUCAUGGGUGCGGUUUCCCCCAUGCUGUUCUCGUGAUAUUGAGUGCUUGCAAGAUCUGAUGGCUUUAUAAGGGGGCUUCUCCCUUCACUCAGCACUCAUUCUCUCUCCUGCCACCCUGUGAAGAGAUGCCUUCCGCCGUGAUUGUAAGUUUCCUGAGACCUUCCCAGCCAUGCGGAACUGUGAGUCAAUUAAACCUCUUUUCUUUAUAAAUUACCCACUCUCAAGUGUUUCCUCAUAGCAGCAUGAGAAUGAACUAAUACACUUGUGUAUAUGUUGUAUCGUUUAUUAGCCUGCAGAUAGAAUUUUUUUUGUGUUGGUACUUUUAUUAAACUAAUUCUACCCUCCUCCCCUUGCUAUAUCCUCUGCUCCUUAUUCCUAAGUUUCCAUAAUUUUCUUCUCACUAAGAAAACCUGGAUAGUUCACUCUAAGCACAGAUAAAUAAGAGUAUCAUACAGCAUCAGCAGGCACAGAGCAAUUGGAAAGGAAGGAAGAUCAUCUCCCGGGUCUCUAACCUGGCUUCCAAGGCCCAGCCCAGUGCCUGGCUCACAGAAGGAAUUCACUAUUUCUACUUAUGUUGAAUGUCUGUUGUGCAUAUACAGACGGAAAUAUUCAAACUAGCAUAGUCUGUGUUUGACAAGCAUUCCAUAAGGGAUGUGCUUACCAGAAAGAUGGUGGCCAAGAUGUUGGCCACCCAGAUAUCAGUUGGGGUAUUGCUCCCUAAUACCUAAAAGAAGUUUUUUUUUUAAGGCUUCAAAAUGGUUAACUGAAAAGAACGGAGGUCACAUGACAACAUGAGUAUAUCCCCCAAGGAAGCCUACCUGUCUAUCCCCAGGAAUCUGAACCAGCAGACAAAGCACUGUCGGGUCCUUGCUGCAACCUCUUCCCCCCACCCCCUUUGAUGGUCCUGGUUCUGCAUCAUUGUACUUGCGUAUCAUUCACUCAUUAUUUCAUUGCUUCAUUCACUAGUCAUCAGCCAUUCCUGAAAGACUGACUGUGGGCUUCUGAAUGAGGGAGGAGAAGGAGCCAGUCUGGAAGGGAGGCUGACAAGUUUCAUUUUUAAAAAUUGAUCUGCACUUGGAUAUCUCUGGAGAUGCCAGUAAGGUUGUUGGGUACAGAGGUCUGCAGCUCAGAGACCAGCAGGCAUCCUGAACAAGACAGAUCCAGGCAGACGGAAUGGCCUGUAGGAGAACUUGGCAGAGGGCACAACCAAGAAGAGUUCAAAGGCGCUGGCCAGUUCCAUGCGACUGCAUGGGGUCAUGGGAGAAGAGAUACACUUAAACCAGGGUCCCACAGGCUCAAUGGGUCUCCUUCCAAAAUCAGCUUCCAAUGAGCCCUCAGAUUCUCCAAAUACUGGGCAGCUGGAUUUCCCAGACACCUUCUGCAAUCUGCUGACAUCUAAUAUACCUGUAGACUGUUCUCCUGCUGACAAGGUUGUUCUUGCUCUUAUCCUAUAAAGAAGAGAGGUGGCAGAGAGUUGGAGGGGAGGGCCUCCUUCCCUGGCAUGUCCAUCCGAGGGUCUCCAAGAACAUCCUGGCUGUGGCCCACACCUUUCUGUGUGGUUAGGAGGAGUAUCGGAUGCCUUCUCUUUCCAACCUUGGCUUGUGUGAAGAUGGUGUUAUGGUGAUGUAAGAGGACGGCUCUAUUCUGAGUGAUGCAAGAUCCAACAUUUAGGCAUGAAAUGCCAUGAUGACAGCCGCCUACUUUAGCAAAAGGGAAGUUGUGUGUGUGUGUGUGUGUGUGUGUGUGUGUGUGUGUGUGUGUGUGUUUUUACGCGUAUGCAUAUAAAUAGAGGAAGUCGCUGCAGCUAGAUGGUGAAUCUACGUGAGGAGUAUCUGGCUGUUCCUUGUACUGUUCUUUCAACUUUCUGUGGGUUUGAAAAUUUUCAAAACAAGACAAAAAAUGUUUUUCAAGCACUGUUUGAGAGGAUAGGAAAUAGAAAUGGCUCUUAUUAAAGAGCCAUUCAGAAGACUGUUUUCUUCUAUUUCCUUUUCCCCCACGACUAUGACCCUCAGUGCCAGCGAUUUCUCCUUUCCAUAAACUUUUGUUUGACCUUAAAUCAUUGUGACACCACUGAGCAGGGAAUCUCAAUAAUGGCUGACAUAUCUGGUAGCAAAAGGAAAUGAAGUAUUUUUAUUUUCUCAGGGAACUAAAGGUUAUCUUCUAAAUUCAAAUUUUUUUUUUUUUUUUUAAAGAUGAAGUGUUGCUCUGUCACCCAGGCUGCAGGGAAGUGGUGUGAUCUUGGCUCACUGCAACCUCCGCCUCCCAGGUUCAAACAAUUCUCCUGUCUCAGCCUCCCGACUAGCUGGGACUACAGGCGCGGGCCAGCACACCUGGCUAAUUUUUGUAUUUUUAGUAGAGAAGGGGUUUCACCAUGUUGGCCAGCCUGGUCUCGAACUUCUGGUCUCAAGUGAUCCACCUGCCUUGGUCUCCCAAAGUGCUGGGAUUACAGGCAUGAGCCACUGCACCCAGCCUCAAAUUUCUUAUAUUGAGCUUCAACUAUGCAAGAUCCCAUGAGAGGAAUGAUAUACCAAGAUGAACAACAAUAUGGUCUCUGCCUUCAAGGGGUAUAAAAUCUAACCCAUACAAAUGGGCUCCCAAGCAUUUUUU
rnacentral:lncRNA from 10 species